rnacentral:rRNA from 1 species
GUGAGGAAUAUUGGUCAAUGGUCGCAAGACUGAACCAGCCAUGCCGCGUGCAGGAAGACGGUCCUAUGGAUUGUAAACUGCUUUUAUACAGGAAGAAACCCUCCCACGUGUGGGAGCUUGACGGUACUGUAGGAAUAAGGAUCGGCUAACUCCGUGCCAGCAGCCGCGGUAAUACGGAGGAUCCAAGCGUUAUCCGGAAUCAUUGGGUUUAAAGGGUCCGUAGGCGGUCUUAUAAGUCAGUGGUGAAAGCCCAUCGCUCAACGAUGGAACUGCCAUUGAUACUGUAAGACUUGAAUGCUUAGGAAGUAACUAGAAUAUGUAGUGUAGCGGUGAAAUGCUUAGAUAUUACAUGGAAUACCAAUUGCGAAGGCAGGUUACUACUAAGUGAUUGACGCUGAUGGACGAAAGCGUGGGGAGCGAACAGGAUUAGAAACCCGGGUAGUCC